rnacentral:lncRNA from 1 species
ACAGUGAAACGAGCUUGCAUGAGAGCAUCCCAGGACCACUGAACAUUCAGAGAACAGCCAGUUGUAAGGGGUAAAAUAAAUUGGAGAAGAGAACAUCCACAUGGAUUAAGUCCCAAGCUCACCCUUUGUUAGUGAGAAUGUAGUCACGUGGCCAUACCUACUACAAGGUAGGCUAGAACAUAUAAUCUCAUUGGAUAGCCAUGAUAUUGCUACAUUAACAUAUAAGAAGGGGAGAUGAAUUUUGGUGGACAGCUAGCAUUCUCCUCAUUUAAUUCUCCCUUCUCAGUACUCAACUUUGUGUUCAGAUCUAGCACAGCAGUCAGCUCUGCUAAUCAGAC